CAUAUUUCUGCUCACGUUGUUUUUUGUUUACUCUCUGACUUAAUAUCGGUUAUUUUUUUAUCUCACUCUACACAUUGAAUUUUCGCCUGGUUAUCACAGCGGUUGACAGUUAAGCAGCAGGGUGCACCGCCAAGUUUGAGGAUACAACAAAGGAAACAUCGGAGAGACUGACAGAACACCACACCCACCGGGAACAAAAGGGGACAGUUGUUUAACAGGUUGAUAAAGACACUGGUAUCUACUUUGUGAGCCUUUAAGAGAUUCAUCUGUUUUUCUUCAAAUUUGGGAAACAUAUAAAUAAUGAAAUUCAUUCAUAUGUUACUCUUGUUUUUACAUCGGCAAUUAUGUUUGAAUGUUUGGUUCCUUAUUACAGCAUAUUUAGUGGCUGAAUGAUACGUUCUCCAGAUGACCUUUGUCCCAACUUGGAUAGACUAUAUUGGAACGCCCCAAACAGAUGGCACCAUUGUUACAAGCUAUCUGUAAUCCUAUUAAAAUUUUCCAGGAUUUGUUCUUUAUUUAUGUAUGGUCAAUUGUUUUCUGUUUGUACAAAACAAUAACUUGAGCACAUCAAAGCUGUUGAUGUGAAGUAUUACUAAUAAUAACUACAACUACAACACCAAAAUUAAUUAUGAUUGUUUGACGUUUUGUUAAUAACAAACAACAGCUCAAUUACCAAUUUCCAAUAAAUUAUGUUUUCAGUGACUGUAGUCUAUAAAUUGUGCGGUGACUUGAUGAUGAAAAAACAGACAUCAUUUAUAAAAACCCGGAUUUCUCAAUGAUUUCAGGAAACAAAUAGUUUCUGUAUGAACGCAGGAUGUUGAAAAGACGACUCUAAACUGCAUUGCUGGCUUUAAUUUGUAUGAAAAAGCAGCUGAAAGGAGUAUGAAUAGUGGUUUUAGCUUAAUCUAACCUCUCAUACUCCUGCUUCUACCUCGAAGACAGUAACUGUUAUCUGUUAUUAUAAAUUUAUGUGUGUAGUGUCAAAUGUGUGCUCUUAAUGUGAGAGGUAAUACGGCAGUUGGUUGGUUUGCUAACAACAGCCCAAUUUCUAUUGCCACUGUUUUACAAAAAAAAUUGCAACAUUGUGAUAAUGUUACAUAUAUUACAACAGUUAUUAGUUAGUUAGAGUCUGGAUGAAUUAGCUGACAUUAUCCACUCGAGACAGUAUCUUUCUACAUCCCGAGCUUGCCAAGGCCACCAAUAUCACCAACGCCAAAACACAUGAUAACAGUAAAAAGUAUGUAUCAACAACCCUUUGAGAAGCACUAACAGUAUCCAAUAUGUCAGUGUACCCACUCAUGUUAAAUGUUUUAAAAGUAAAAGAAAAUGCUCACAUAUAACUCAUUUUUUUGUAUUUUAAACGUGUGUCUGUCUAAAGUUUAAAUUAAUGUGAUGUAAACAUGAAACCAUAAGUAACACUUUUUCUUCCAAACAGCUUCAGCAACAACUGAGAAGAAUAACGAUACUGUUUGAAUAGUGAAAUGCAGUAUUUGGUGAGGAAGUAACUCAGAGUUGACAUCAGUAGACAGUGGGAGAGAUGCAAAUAUAGACCCGCUGCAGCACAUUAACAAUACACCUUAAACAAAUAUUAGAUUAUUUCCACGACUGUCACUGAUUGACAGCAGUAUGUGUCAGUGUUAGUUGCAAAAAUGCUAACAUAUAGCAAAUAACAUGAGGCAAGAUAGUUGUUUAUCUUAACAUGAUGCAGCUGACAGGUGUAACAGGUGAAUAUUACAGUUAUCAGUGGCUGCAGGUGAGUUUUCUUCCUACUUGGUGUAAUGUGGGCAUAAAAUACAUAACAUAUCUUCAGAAAACUGCAUUUAAAUAUGUUUGCACUUUGUAGGAUACGUUGUUGUGGACUACAAUGUUAAACACAGUUCAGCAGGGGUCACCAAAGUUACAGUCAAUCCUUUGGGAGCCGUGAAAAGAUCUUGUCCUUGAAGUAUCUUGCUCUAAUACAUCCUGGCAUUGUAUUUUGAAGUGCAGAGAUGUAUUCAUACAAAAAAAUUAUUAAAAUAAAAAAAUGUG